rnacentral:rRNA from 1 species
CACGUAGGGCGCAAGCGUUGUCCGGAAUUAUUGGGCGUAAAGAGCUCGUAGGCGGACUGUCACGUCUGCUGUGAAAAGCUGGGGCUUAACCCUGGCCUUGCAGUGGAUACGGGCAGACUAGAGUGUGGUAGGGGAGACUGGAAUUCCUGGUGUAGCGGUGGAAUGCGCAGAUAUCAGGAGGAACACCGAUGGCGAAAGCAGGUAUCUGGGCCACAACUGACGCUGAGCUGCGAAAGCUAGGGGAGCAAACAGG